rnacentral:lncRNA from 1 species
UUAGUUGUUCUUUGCCUGCCUUGUGUCCUGUACCAUCCCGCGGACUUCACUCCAGGUUGAAGCUCUGUGUUGGAGUAGAUCUGUUGCAAUCCAAUCCUCAAACCCACAGACCUGAUCCUGUUUCAGUCCCCACCAGUUCCCCUGGUACCCGGGAUGCAGACGUAGCUCGCCACUCUGCCCCUCACACCGGUAACUCAGCACACGUCUACAGCGGAGCCUGGUGAAGAGCGAGGGGCCCAAGCUGGUGCCCUUCUUUAAGGCUACCUGUGUGUAUUUCGUGCUCUGGCUGCCCUCCUCCAGCCCAUCCUGGUUCAGCGCCCUUAUCAAGUGCCUGCCCAUCUUCUGCCUCUGGCUUUUUCUUCUGGCCCAUGGCUUUCGAUUCCUGCUGGCCCACCCCAGUGCCUCCCUCAUCUUUGCGGGACUCGUCUUCUCCGCUGUGGGCGAUGCCUUCCUCAUCUGGCAGGACUCCGGAUACUUUGAACAUGGUCUCCUGAUGUUUGCUGUGGCACACAUACUCUAUGCCUUGGCCUUUGGCAUGCGGCCG